CGCGCGAUACAGGGUGACAGCCCCGUACACAAAAAUGCACAUGCUGUGAGCUCGAUGAGUAGGGCGGGACACGUGGUAUCCUGUCUGAAUAUGGGGGGACCAUCCUCCAAGGCUAAAUACUCCUGACUGACCGAUAGUGAACCAGUACCGUGAGGGAAAGGCGAAAAGAACCCCGGCGAGGGGAGUGAAAAAGAACCUGAAACCGUGUACGUACAAGCAGUGGGAGCACAGAGCAAUCUGUGUGACUGCGUACCUUUUGUAUAAUGGGUCAGCGACUUAUAUUCUGUAGCAAGGUUAACCGAAUAGGGGAGCCGAAGGGAAACCGAGUCUUAACUGGGCGUUAAGUUGCAGGGUAUAGACCCGAAACCCGGUGAUCUAGCCAUGGGCAGGUUGAAGGUUGGGUAACACUAACUGGAGGACCGAACCGACUAAUGUUGAAAAAUUAGCGGAUGACUUGUGGCUGGGGGUGAAAGGCCAAUCAAACCGGGAGAUAGCUGGUUCUCCCCGAAAGCUAUUUAGGUAGCGCCUCGUGAAUUCAUCUCCGGGGGUAGAGCACUGUUUCGGCAAGGGGGUCAUCCCGACUUACCAACCCGAUGCAAACUGCGAAUACCGGAGAAUGUUAUCACGGGAGACACACGGCGGGUGCUAACGUCCGUCGUGAAGAGGGAAACAACCCAGACCGCCAGCUAAGGUCCCAAAGUCAUGGUUAAGUGGGAAACGAUGUGGGAAGGCCCAGACAGCCAGGAUGUUGGCUUAGAAGCAGCCAUCAUUUAAAGAAAGCGUAAUAGCUCACUGGUCGAGUCGGCCUGCGCGGAAGAUGUAACGGGGCUAAACCAUGCACCGAAGCUGCGGCAGCGACACUAUGUGUUGUUGGGUAGGGGAGCGU
rnacentral:rRNA from 1 species